UGGACAUAUUUGUGUACCUCGUGAUCACAAUUCGUUGCAAGCGGCGUGUGAAAAACUGCAAGUUUCAGUUUGACAGUUCUGGCAGAUAAAUGGUUUCUAAUUUUAUUGUCCAAUUAGGUGCGUAGUUUUGAUUUAAAGUUCAAAACUACGCAUCUGAUUGGACAAUAAAAUUAGAAACUCAUUUAACUGUACUGUCAGAACUGUCAAACUGAAACUUGCAGUUUUUCACUAGCCGCUUGCAACGAAUUGUGAUCACGAGGUACACAAAUAUGUCCUUCGUAAAAAUUAUCGGUCGUUUCGCAGUAUAUGUAGAUUUUAUUUAAAUCGCUAAACUUGUAAUGCAGAUUAUGACCAUCUGUUCUUUAAAAUAUAAACCAUGAGGAUAAGGAAUAUCUUAAAUAAAUUAUAAAUAAAG